GAUGAACGCUGGCGGCGUGCCUAAUACAUGCAAGUCGAGCGAACAGAUAAGGAGCUUGCUCCUUUGACGUUAGCGUCGGACGGGUGAGUAAAACGUGGGUAACCUACCUAUAAGACUGGAAUAACUCCGGGAAACCGGUGCUAAUUCCGGAUAACAUUUAGAACCGCAUGGUUCUAAAGUGAAAGAUGGUUUUGCUAUCACUUAUAGAUGGACCCGCUCCGUAUUAGCUAGUUGGUAAGGUAACGGCUUACCAAGGCAACGAUACGUAGCCGACCUGAGAGGGUGAUCGGCCACACUGGAACUGAGACACGGUCCAGACUCCUACGGGAGGCAGCAGUGGGGAAUCUUCCGCAAUGGGCGAAAGCCUGACGGAGCAACGCCGCGUGAGUGAUGAAGGUCUUCGGAUCGUAAAACUCUGUUAUUAGGGAAGAACAAAUGUGUAAGUAACUGUGCACGUCUUGACGGUACCUAAUCAGAAAGCCACGGCUAACUACGUG
rnacentral:rRNA from 1 species